rnacentral:lncRNA from 1 species
AGAAACAUAGGUUCCAAACAUAGCAAAUGCAAGUUGGUUGGUUCUAGGAUUACUAAGCAGAAGGAGAACUGAUCCCAAGUAGCAUAAGUAGUUCAUCAAUAUAGGUUAUAGGACAAAGAGAGGUGUUAUUCAAGCCCUUGCACGAAACCGUGUAUCAUUUCACUGAAUGAAUAAACUAUUAUGUUGUUGGAGAAGAUAUGAUGUUCGCUGGAUGAAUA